UAUAAGUGUGCUCUAACAAUUUCCUAAAAAUUCCCGCUAAAACUUUUCCCCUAAAUCCUUUCCCUCCCUAAAUCUUUUCUGCCCCAAAAAAUAAUUAUGCCCAAAAAUAUUCCACUAAGUUAAGUUUUACCCAAAUUAUUCCCGUACUUCUUCUUCCCUAAAACAUGGUUCUUGUCAUCUAGUUAAGCAGAUUAGGGUAGAUUUUGUGAAAAUUGCUGAUGAAGAUGCUUGAUUUCUUCUAAUUGCUCUUCUCAAGAGUCAAAACCCUCUUAUUUAGGUUUCAAUUGGGAAGUUCGUUUGCUUAGGGUUGCAACUGCUAUAAACUUGUGAAGUCAACGACAAUUGAACUGUCCAAUUGGCAACAACAGUAAUCUAGCUUCUGAUUGGUUGCUCGUUCUGCAAUUUCAUCCUCUUCAAGAAGCACACAUUAGCAAAUUUUAUUUAAGAGCGCAAAACAGAGAAAUACACUUUACAAGAAUAUGUAUGGCAUCACAAGCACACCAAUGCUUCUAUGUACAAGAUCCAUACGAUCAAGACAAACAUUAUGUUAUGAAGACUGUCCCGAGAGACUUGUUUAACGUGGUUCACUUCUAACUGAGGAAGGUUGUGGAGUAGCAAAAAUUGAGGAAACAUACAGAUAUUGAGCAGGGCUGUGUUUGGGAAGGAGCAGCCUGGUCGAAUACGAUGCUAUGGUAGAUAAGUGACAACAUGUUCUCUGAAAAAAGAUGAGGAAAUCAAUAAGCUCCAACAAAAGCAUAACAAUGAAGUCUCUACUUUGAAAGCAGAAAUGCAAGAAAUGAGUCAAGAAAUGCAAGAGUUGAGGCAAAUGCGCCACUGCUUUAAUCUACUGGUGAAAAACAAUCCUGAACUUUUUAGUUCAGAUAUAUAAGGAUUUGUCGAAUCUAACCAACCUUCUCCGGUUGAUGCAAGUAGCGCACAAGCUGUAAGGGGCCAAAAUCUCCCACAUUCUUCUGGAUCAAACCAUGGUCCAAUUCUUGAAAAGGAGAAAGCGGAUGAUGCAAUUGGAAAUGGUGUCGGAAAGUCAAUUUGAUCUUAAUGUGAAUGCGAAUAAUUUUUGGAUAAUUAAGAUGUCAUUCAUGAUACUAUAUGAAUAUACUCACUUUUGAAAAGUUUAUUGUUAAUGAGCAUUUUGACACACUGUUUUAUUAGUAUGUGUAUUCAUUUGAAUUA